rnacentral:rRNA from 1 species
AUUGAACGCUGGCGGCAGGCCUAACACAUGCAAGUCGAGCGAGCGGCGGACGGGUGAGUCAUGUCUGUGAAACUGCCUGUUGGAGGGGGAUAACUACUGGAAACGGUAGCUAUUACCGCAUACCAUCAGAUGUGCCCAGAUGGGAUUAGCUAGUAGGUGGGGUAAUGGCUCACCUAGGCGACGAUCCCUAGCUGGUCUGAGAGGAUGACCAGCCACACUGGAAGUGAGACACGGGCCAGACUCCUACGGGAGGCGGGAGUGGGGAAUAGUGUACAAUGGGCGCAAUCCUGAUGCAGCCAGGCCGCGUGUGUGAAGAAGGCCUUCGGGGUGUAAAGCACUGUCAGCGAGGAGGCGUUACUCGCAGAAGAAGCAACGGCUAACGCCGUGCCAGCAGCCGCGGUAAUUC